rnacentral:rRNA from 1 species
CAAAAGCGUAUAUUAAAGUUGUUGCAGUUAAAAAGCUCGUAGUUGAACCUUGGGCUUGGCUGGCCGGUCCAUCUUUUUUGAUGCGUACUGGACCCAGCCGAGCCUUUCCUUCUGGCUAGCCUUUUGGCGAACCAGGACUUUUACUUUGAAAAAAUUAGAGUGUUCAAAGCAGGCCUUUGCUCGAAUAUAUUAGCAUGGAAUAAUAGAAUAGGACGUUAUGGUUCUAUUUUGUUGGUUUCUAGGACCGUCGUAAUGAUUAAUAGGGACGGUCGGGGGUAUCAGUAUUCAGUUGUCAGAGGUGAAAUUCUUGGAUUUACUGAAGACUAACUACUGCGAAAGCAUUUACCAAGGACGUUUUCAUUAA